rnacentral:lncRNA from 1 species
UUGCAGCAAUGGAUGUCCCCUUUGUUCUUGUACAAGGGCACCACUGUACUCCAUCUCCACUCUUCCGGCAUCCUUUUGGUCCUGAAGAUCGCAUUGAACAACCUGGAGAGCCACUCUCCCCCAGACUUACCCAUGCACUUCCAGAACUCCACCGGGAUCUCGUCAGGCCCGGUCGCUCGACCCCUACUCAUCCUACGCAAAGCCCCCNN